rnacentral:rRNA from 1 species
AUGACAAUGGAGCACGGCGAGGAUUGCUGCGUCAAGGUGGCGGUCCAUGCCCGCCCGCUCAUCGGCGACGAGAAGCUGCAGGGCUGUAAGGACUGCGUCACCGUCGUCCCCGGCAAGCCACAGGUCCAGAUCGGCACCCACUCCUUCACCUUCGACCAUGUCUACGGCAGCUCCGGCACGCCGUCGACGGCCAUGUUCGACGAGUGCGUGGCGCCGCUGGUGGAGGGCCUCUUCCAGGGCUACAACGCCACCGUGCUCGCCUACGGCCAGACGGGUUCGGGGAAGACGUACACCAUGGGGACGGCAUGCAAGGAGGGGACGCACGUCGGGAUCAUUCCGCGAGCCAUGGCGGCAUUGUUCGACAAGAUCGAGAAGCUGAAAAAUCAAGUGGACUUCCAGCUACGUGUUUCCUUCAUCGAGAUCCUGAAAGAAGAGGUGCGGGAUUUGCUUGACCCUGCUACUGUUGCUGCUGGCAAAGUUGAGAAUGGCAAUGGGCACGCCGGGAAGUUGUCGGUGCCGGGGAAACCUCCGGUGCAGAUUCGGGAGGGGUCAAACGGGGUCAUUACCCUGUCGGGGUCGACCGAAGUGCAUGUCACAACUCAGAAGGAAAUGACCACAUGCCUUGAACAAGGUUCGCUGAGUCGCGCCACUGGGAGCACCAACAUGAACAACCAAUCAAGUCGUUCCCAUGCCAUCUUCACAAUCACAUUGGAGCAGAUGCGCAAAGCAGACCCCAUCAUGGCAUCAGAUGGAAUGCCUAUCGAAGAGAUGAAUGAUGAUUAUCUAUGUGCCAAGCUCCAUUUGGUAGAUCUUGCGGGGUCGGAACGGGCCAAGCGAACUGGUUCAGAUGGCCUUCGGUUCAAGGAAGGUGUUCACAUCAACAGAGGACUUCUGGCCCUUGGCAACGUCAUAAGUGCUCUUGGAGAUGAGAAAAAGAGGAAAGAAGGUGCACAUGUACCUUACCGGGACAGCAAACUCACUCGCCUUCUGCAGGACUCACUCGGUGGAAACAGCAAGACUGUAAUGAUAGCCUGUAUUAGUCCAGCAGAUAUUAAUGCUGAAGAAACACUGAACACAUUGAAAUACGCCAACCGGGCACGUAAUAUUCAGAACAAGCCAAUUGUCAACAGGAAUCCUAUUGCUGAUGAGAUGAAAAGGAUGCGCCAGCAACUCGAGUACUUGCAAGCAGAGCUAGUUUUAGCUCGCGGAGGAGGAGUAGGAUCAGAUGAUGUUCAGGGUCUCAGGGAAAGGAUCUCAUGGCUUGAACACACAAAUGAAGACCUUUGCCGGGAGCUUUAUGGCCUUCGCAACCAUGUUCACAGUGAUCCAUGCGAACCUGAACUACAUAAAACUGUAAGUGGCUACACCAAAGGUGAAGGGCUCAAACGAAGCUUGCAAAGUACGGAGCCAUUUGAUGUCCUUAUGACUGAUUCUGUACGAGAAGGCAACCCUAAAGAUAUUGACGAUGAAGUAGCCAAAGAAUGGGAACACACAAUGCUGCAGGAUAGCUUAGGCAAAGAGUUGAAUGAAUUAAACAAACAACUGGAGAAAAAGGAGUCUGAGAUGAAAGGGUAUGGACAUGAUACUGUUGCACUUAAGCAACACUUUGGAAAGAAACUUAUGGAACUUGAAGAAGAGAAAAGAGCUGUACAGAAAGAGAGGGACAGGUUGUUGGCUGAAGUUGAAAGCCUAAAUGCAGAUGGGCAGACACAUAAGGUGCGAGAUGCCCAACUGCAAAAACUUAAAACCUUUGAAGCACAGAUUCUAGAACUCAAGAAAAAGCAGGAGAGCCAAGUUCAACUUCUGAAAGAAAAGCAGAAGAGUGAUGAAGCUGCUAAGAAACUGCAAGAAGAAAUCCAUUUUAUAAAGUCACAGAAGGUUCAACUACAACACAAGAUCAAACAAGAAGCAGAACAGUUCCGGCAAUGGAAGGCUUCCCGUGAAAAAGAACUUUUGCAGUUGCGGAAGGAGGGACGAAGAAAUGAGUAUGAACGCCACAAACUUCAAGCACUUACUCAGAGGCAAAAAUUGGUUCUUCAAAGGAAGACUGAAGAAGCUGCCAUGGCUACCAAAAGGCUGAAAGAGAUACUUGAAGCUCGGAAAUCUUCAGGGCGUGAUAAUUCAGCUGGCAUGAAUGGCACUUCUCCUGGCUCUCAUAUGAGUGAGAAAUCGUUGCAAAAGUGGCUAGAUCAAGAGUUAGAAGUCAUGGUUCAUGUCCACGAAGUCCGAAACGAAUACGAGAAACAGUCUCAAUUGCGUGCUUUACUUGGCGAGGAGCUUGCCAUUUUGAAGAAAGAAGAUGCUAGUCCGCCAAGAGGGAAGAAUGGAAACUCAAGGACAAAUACCUUGUCACCAAAUGCCCGACAAGCUAGGAUAGCAUCACUUGAGAGCAUGGUCACAAUCUCUUCAAAUACUCUUGUCGCGAUGGCUUCUCAACUUUCAGAGGCUGAGGAAAGAGAGCGUGCUUUCUCGGGGCGUGGUCGUUGGAAUCAGUUGCGGUCAAUGGGAGAAGCAAAGAGUUUGCUGCAGUACAUCUUUAGUGUGGCUGCGGAUGCAAGAUGUGAAGUAAGGGAAAAACAAAUUGAGAUCAAGGAAAUGAAGGAGCAAAGGACAGAGCUUGUGGGCAUCCUUCGACACAGUGAAUCACGCAGGAAGGAACUUGAAAAGCAGAGCAAGCAGAAAGAGCAGACAGCUCCCAUGGCUACUACACCUCCGGGAAGCAUAAAUGGCUCCGCCAAGCACACUGCAGAUGACUCCAACACGCCACUAUCGCCGGUUGCAGUUCCCGCACAGAAGCAGCUGAAGUACUCUGCUGGAAUUGUAAAUAGCCCCAGCAAAGGCGUAGCUGCAUUGAACAAACAACUCAAGAUGGUUCCUAUUGCGCAGUUGCCUGUCGGCAAGAAGGUUUCGAUAUCAGGGCAAUCAGGGAAACUCUGGAGAUGGAAAAGGAGCCACCACCAGUGGCUACUGCAGUUCAAGUGGAAGUGGCAGAAGCCCUGGAAACUGUCGGAAAUGAUCCGCCACAGCGACGAAACGAUCACGAGGGCCAGGCCCAGACCCCAGUUACUUAUCACUCAUAAACCUCAGAAAGUGAUGUGA